GUCCCGCCCCCCACUUAUGGGGCGCUCACCGGAGCCGGGGCGCAGUGUGGGGCCGGGCACCCACUGGUGGCAGCCCAGGUGGUAGAAGAAGACGCCGUCCCCAUAGCACUUCUCCUCGCGGUAAUGCUCGUGGACGCUGCCCCCUGCGCCCCACACGUGUGGGGUGGGACGGGCAGAUGUGGGGCAGGGACCCCGAGGUGUGGGGCCCGGACCCCAAAGUGCGGGGAAGGGUCUUAAAGUGUGGGGCUAGGGGACAAGCUGUGGGGCGGGGACCCAUAACUAUGGGGCAGGGACACCAAGCUAGGGGGCUGGGACCCAUAACUAUGGGGCAGGGACGCCAAGCUAUGGGGCAGGGACACCAAGCUGUGGGGCUGGGACCCAUAACUAUGGGGCAGGGACACCAAGCUAUGGGGCAGGGACCCAUAACUAUGGGGCAGGGACACCAAGCUGUGGGGCUGGGACCCAUAACUAUGGGGCAGGGACACCAAGCUGUGGGGCUGGGACCCAUAACUAUGGGGCAGGGACACCAAGCUAUGGGGCUGGGACCACUAAAGUGUGGGGCUGGGACCCAUAACUAUGGGGCAGGGACUCCAAGCUAUGGGGCUGGGACCCAUAACUAUGGGGCAGGGACACCAAGCUGUGGGGCUGGGACGCCUAACUAUGGGGCAGGGAUCCACACCUAUGGGGCUGGGACCCACAUCUAUGGGGCAGGGACCAAUCUGUACGGCAGGAACCACAUGCUAUGGGGCAGGGACCCAAACUAUGGGGCAAGAAUCAAUCUAUAGGGCAGGGCCCCAGAUCUAUGGGCAGGGACCCGCAUCUAUGGGGCAGGGCCCCAGAUCUAUGGGGCAGGGACCCGCAUCUAUGGGUCAGGGCCCCAGAUCUAUGGGUCAGGGCCCAAGAUCUAUGGGGCAGGGACCCACACCUAUGGGUCAGGGCCCCACAUCUAUGGGGCAGGGACCAAUCCGUAUGGCAGGAUCUGCAUGCUAUGGGGCAGGGUCCCAGAUGUAUGGGGCAGGGACCCAGAUCUAUGGGGCAAGAACCAAUCUAUGGGGCAGGGCCCCAGAUGUACGGGGCAGGGACCCAC
rnacentral:lncRNA from 1 species